GCCACCAUGGCAUAGUGGUUUGAGUGUUGGACUAUGACUCUGAGAUCAAGGUUCGAUUCCCUGCCUGCG